rnacentral:rRNA from 1 species
UACGGAGGAUGCGAGCGUUAUCCGGAUUUAAUGGGUUUAAAGGGUGCGUAGGCGGGCUUUUAAGUCAGCGGUAAAAAUUCGGGGCUCAACCCCGUCCGGCCGUUGAAACUGGGGGUCUUGAGUGGGCGAGAAGAAGGCGGAAUGCGUGGUGUAGCGGUGAAAUGCAUAGAUAUCACGCAGAACCCCGAUUGCGAAGGCAGCCUUCCGGCGCCCUACUGACGCUGAGGCACGAAAGUGCGGGGAUCGAACAGG